GUAGGGUGCGAGCGUUAAUCGGAAUUACUGGGCGUAAAGUGUGCGCAGGCGGCGCCGCAAGUCGAGUGUGAAAUCCCCGGGCUUAACUUGGGAAUUGCGCUCGAAACUACGGGGCUCGAGUGUGGCAGAGGGGGGUGGAAUUCCACGUGUAGCGGUGAAAUGCGUAGAGAUGUGGAGGAACACCAAUGGCGAAGGCAGCCCCCUGGGCCAACACUGACGCUCAUGCACGAAAGCGUGGGGAGCAAACAGGAUUAGAUACCCUGGUAGUACGCCCUAAACGAUGAUGACUAGUUGUUGGGGGAGUUAAAUCCCUUAGUAACGCAGCUAACGCGCGAAGUCAUCCGCCUGGGGAGUACGGUCGCAAGAUUA
rnacentral:rRNA from 1 species